AAGAUUGGAAAUUUCAAUUGUUUUGAAAUGAGCGCCUGAACCCAUCAUUGGACCUUUCAGCUUUAGCUUUUCUUUCAACCCCAAACGGUUAAUCAUAAGAUCAACAUGACUUUUUCAAUUUUCAUUAAAUCUUCAAGUAUUGUCAAUUUAUGCAGUUUACUUACGUUAUUUUACUUUAAUUAACUAAAUUAAUUUUGUUGUCUGUUUUGGUGCCCCACUUAUUAUUCGGACUGUUGGACAUCUUUUGUGUUUUAAUUUGCUGUGUCAAGUUUGUCUUUUGUUAGGGUUUAUAACUGUUUUGUCACUUGUUUUGUCCUCUUCUGUGUAAAGUGAAAACACUUUUCAACUGUAAACUGAAAGUUAACUGUAAUAUUUACUGGACUUUUUUUGAUGCCACUUAAACUAAUCGACUGAUUAACAUUAUUUUUUUUCUACUUUCUCGCUUUCUUCAUCGUUUAUAUUUGUGUUGCCAAUACUCUUUAUCUGAUUAUAUGGUCAAUUUUGAUGGACAUGACAAAGAGUUGAUCAGAUGUACCGUGAAAUGCUUGUAAUUUGGUUAAUCCACGCAUUCAGAAUGUCUAUUUUGAUGUUUGAAGAAAAUAAUUGAUUCGGAGGUUUGGACAUGACCCAAUAGUUAGGUGAUUUGAUGGUCAGACAAGAUGCACAUGCAAUCAAUCAAACAAUGGAGAGCAAAAUUAUUUAAUGCAAUAAUGAACGCAAAAUUCAAGGGCUUGGUUAAAAACAAAAUAUGGUAACAGAGGAGAAGUUGAUUGACUUUGAUUUGAUUGUUGUAGAGCUGUACAACCAUAGAUAAAUUUGUGCCAAAUUGCUUGAUCAUCAUCAUUAUUAUCAUUAUCAUUACAAUUGUGAAUCCAGCUAAUGAUGGAAAGGAAAGAAAUUUAACAUUGAAAAGAUGAAAAAACAUGAGAUUGGUUUCACGUGGAACAAUUAAAACUGUAGCCUAAAAGUUACAUUGAAAGCCUAGAGAUGGUCAAAAGAAUGGUCAAAAGUCAAUUCGUGCCAUCACAAAGAUUUGAAACGAAAAAUUAAAAUCUCCAAUCAAUCAAAGAACAACAACAACAAAAAAGACUAAAGAAAUUUAUAUCAAUUGUUUUAAUGCAAUCAAUUGCCAACCAAGAUCAAAUUGCAAACCAAACUAAACGAGGAAACCCUGUUUGACCCACAAAAAAAGUCAUAACCAAGGGAAAAAAGCUUGAAGCAAGGGAAACAAUCAAAAUGAUAUCCACAAUAACCUCCAGUCAAGUGCUACUGGAACCACCACAAAGAAACGCCAAGUAAAUAGAUGUUGAGGCUAAAUCGAUUCAUCAAUUUCUCAUUUACAAUUGUUAACCUGAUUACCUGGUAAUAGCAAAUUGUUUUUAAUAGAGUGCAAAAGGAAAAGACAACAAAUGCAAAGCUCAAGCAAAAGAGGUAUACCAUGAAAAGGUAAAGACGAGACAACAGCAGCGGCAGUUGAAAGAAGGAGAAGAAGACUAAGACAAAUGAUAUAAAAAAUGGAAAGCAAAAAGGUAAUAGUUGGUGGGAAAGUAAUUACAGCUGUUUUGAAUAUACGCGCCACGGCAAGCCAAGUCAAAUCAAGUCCCAAACUGAAACAUAUUAAGGAAGAAGAAGAAAAAACGAAAAGCUGAAAUUGAAGUGAAAAGCCAGAGAAGAGGAAAAAAAAGGUAAAGACUAGCAUAAGAUAAGGUGGCAAAAAGUGCACCGAAGAGUGACACUGGAUAAGAAAAGAAGAAAGGUGGAAAAAAGUUGCGACUAAAGUGGGGAAAGAUUUUCAAGUUGUGCAAAUUUUAACCCUUUAUUUGCUCUGUUACUGGCGCUGUUCAUGUUGCUAUUGAACCUUAUUUAUUUGAUUUGACUCCAUCUUUAUUUGUUUAUUUGAUGGAUUAACAUUUUAGCCCAACUUCACCAUUUAACAUAAUAUUAUUCACUCUUGUCUUUGCAACUUCCUUUGCCUAGUUAAUUAUUCACAAUUAUGCUGCUAUUCAUUAUCUGAUUCUGCUUUUGAGAUUCAUGUUUUGGUUCCUUUGAAACAACUAAAAGUUAAGCCAAGGAAGAGACAAGAAAGUGAGAGAAAAAAGAUUUGCUUUUUGCUUUUCCACUGAAAAGCUUCAAUGAACUUAUACGUUUCGUAUUUAUUAAUUAAUUUGCUGUUGCUGUUGUUAUUUCAUCAUUUUGCUACUGUUGCUUGACAAACUAAUAAUAAUAAUAAUGAUAAUAAUGAUAAUAAUGAUCGUUGAUGUUCAAAUUGAUGUGGUAAAUGUUGUUAUGUCUGUGUGUGACAAUAAAAAAUGAUCAUCAUUAUCAAGAUGAAAGUAACAACCUUAGACAAUCAACUUUUUUUUAACUUCAGCUUUUAAAAUUAUUUUAACGCCAACAACGAAAACGAUAAAUUAUCUUUAUAUAUUAUUUUUUGAUAAAUUAUUAUUGAAAGUCAGAGUCAGAUUUUAGAAGUCAAGAAAACAAGGUUCAACCAAUUUUCAUCGUUAAUGACUUCCAACUUUACUAUGUGCACUUUAUUGGCCCUCAUUUUAUGACACUAAACAAUCGGCUUAACAAUGGACAAUGGACUUUUUAACCUCGAAUGAAGGAGCAAUAAUCAAAAAUCUCAACGAAAAUCCUCUUUGGUCACGGAUAAAGAGUUGACCACAGAAAAGGAAAACAGAAGACAAAAUUCAAUCAUCAGCUCAGCACUAAGCCGCUAUUGAAAUACUUUCAUCACUCAUCCUUUAACGUCUGAUUUUUCAACCGUUUCCAGCCAGAACCGAAUCCGUUUUUUAAAGCGAUAAUUCCCGACAAGAGCAAGAAAUGGUAAAAUUUAAUCAAACUCAAAGGAGCCAAAAUAUGCUGUUAUCAAGAGGAUAAAAUUUACUGUGAAAUUUUCAACAAUUUGCCGAAACUCAACUGUAAAUUGGAUUUUUUACACGGGAAAAAGAUUAAGCUGUUAAUUUUUAACAAAGCAAACUUGAUGCCCCGAGAUUAAAGCCCGAAAUUAAAUUGAAAUCAUCAUGAGAAGCAUCUUCAUUUUGUUUUCCUUCCUGUUUAACGAAUCAUUUAACUCUUUUGUUACACGUUACAAAAAGUUAUCUGACCCAUUGAGGUUGUUUCCAGUUGAUGAUGUUUAAUGAUAUGAGAAGUAAUCUAAUGAUAAGUCUCUGUACUUUUUCAUUUUUACAGUUACUUCCAUUUGAAUAUCCUUUUUCCUUGUAGACAAAAGGUCCUUGUAUCAUAAUAACGUUAAGAUGGAUAAAAGCUUUCCCAUUUUACUUCACUUAUUGGAUACUCUUGCCCUUCAAACGGAAUGAUGAUCACUCUUGUUGGUGAAACAAUUUGUUUAAAUAUUAUGAAACAGAGAGUAAUAACAGUUUUAAAGUCUGCCCAUACAAUGAAAACUAUUUGUUUCAUUUUCAAGGCAAAUAAAUGUAAAUUGAUUGUAAUCA